CUGGCUCAGGAUGAACGCUAGCGACAGGCUAACACAUGCAAGUCGAGGGGCAGCACGGGAGUAGCAAUACAACUGGUGGCGACCGGCGCACGGGUGAGUAACGCGUAUGCAACCUACCUAUCAGAGGGGAAUAACCCGGCGAAAGUCGGACUAAUACCGCAUAAAACAGGGGGCACCGCAUGGUGAUAUUUGUUAAAGAAAUUCGCUGAUAGAUGGGCAUGCGUUCCAUUAGGUAGUUGGUGAGGUAACGGCUCACCAAGCCGACGAUGGAUAGGGGAACUGAGAGGUUGGUCCCCCACACUGGUACUGAGACACGGACCAGACUCCUACGGGGAGGCAGCAGUGAGGAAUAUUGGUCAAUGGGCGAGAGCCUGAACCAGCCAAGUCGCGUGAAGGAAGAAGGAUCUAUGGUUCGUAAACUUCUUUUGCAGGGGAAUAAAGUGCAGGACGUGUCCUGUUUUGUAUGUACCCUGAGAAUAAGGAUCGGCUAACUCCGUGCCAGCCGCCGC
rnacentral:rRNA from 1 species